rnacentral:lncRNA from 1 species
CAGUGGGCUUUUUAUAAUCCAGAUAACCACUUAAUAUCUUGAUCAUUAGUGAGACUGUGAGGUCAAUAUUCAGGUUUUCCAAAAAGAUCAGCAGAUGACACCUUCAGUCAUGAUCUUUUACGAACUCUAGGAAAAAUUAGAGACCCUAUUCUCAAAUGAAAGUGUUGGGACAAGUCAACCGACUCCCAACUUCGACUCUAUAU